CGACCGAGCCGAAACAGACACCUCCGUGGAGCGAGGCAGUAGGAACACCGAACACCGGAGGCGGCACCGGGAUCCCCGGCUCAGGGGAGGGGGGCGCCGAACCGGGAGGAGGGUAGGGGGCGAUGCUGGAAGCCAUGGCGGAGCCCAGUCCCGAAGCCACCAGAGAAACGUCGGAGAACAACUGAGGAUUUCAACAAAUUUUGCAGUUUUGUUUUGGCCUAUGCAGGUUACAUCCCCCCUAAGCAAGGAGGAAAGUGACUGGCCAGCCUCCGGCUCCAGCUCUCCAUUGCGAGGGGAGAGUGCUGCAGAUAGCGAUGGCUGGGACUCGGCCCCCUCAGAUCUCAGAACCAUCCAGACCUUUGUUAAGAAAGCAAAGUCAUCCAAGAGAAGGGCGGCUCAAGCAGGCCCCACCCAGCCAGGACCCCCAAGGUCCACUUUCCCUCGUCUGCAGGCCCCUGACAGUGCCACUGUGCUGGAGAAGAUGAAACUCAAGGACUCUCUCUUUGAUCUAGAUGGGCCCAAAAUGGCAUCACCACUGUGCCCCACGUCCCUGACACAUGCCUCCCGGCCCCCUGCUGCUCUCACCCCAGUGCCCCUUUCCCAGGGGGACCUCUCCCAGCCUUCUCGAAAGAAGGACCGAAAGAACCGAAAGUUGGGGCCAGGAGAGGGGACAGGCUUUGGGGUACUUCGGAGGCCCCGCCCAGCCCCUGGGGAUGGGGAAAAGAGGUCUUGAAUCAAGAAGAGCAAGAAGCGGAAGUUGAAAAAUGCAGAACGCGGGGGGAUAGACUCCCACCUCCUGGGCCUCCCCGGGCACCCCCCAGCGAUACAGACUCUGAAGAGGAGGAGGAGGAAGAGGAGGAGGAGGAGGAGAUGUCAGCUACCAACACCUGAGGCUCCUAGCCCCCCUGCCACAGUGCACCCUGCACCCCGAAGGAGCCCCUCCCACUGACGGUGAAAGCAAGGAGGUGGGCAGCACUGAAACAAGCCAAGAUGGCAAUGCCAGCUCCAGUGAAGGCGAGAUGCGGGUCAUGGAUGAGGUCAUCAGGGUAGAAUCAGGUGAUGAUUCAUGGGAUCUGAUCACGUGUUACUGCCGAAAGCCCUUUGCAGGCCGGCCCAUGAUUGAGUGCAGCCUGUGUGGGACGUGGAUCCACCUCUCCUGUGCUAAGAUUAAGAAGACCAAUAUCCCUGACUUCUUUUACUGCCAGAAAUGCAAGGAACUGCGGCCAGAGGCCCGGCGAUUAGGGGGGCCCCCGAAAUCUGGAGAGCCCUGACACAUGCCAUCUCCAGGCUGGAACUUCAAAUGGAAAUGUGACUUGGGAACUGAGCUUCAGGGUCGACAUGUCCCCUGAAGCUGGGAUGUUGUCCCACUUCGAGGCAGAAAUUUCCAAGGGAGACUGGUUUGGAAAUGAGUGGUUUUCCUCCCUACCUUUCCUUCCCACCUUGUGGACUUGAACUUGGACCCAUUGCAGGUGUGAGUGGGAGGCUCUCUGGAUCCCUAGACACUUGGACUGUCCCUGCAACUGCUCAGUUUCUGGGCCAGGGUUGGAACUGGGAUGGAGUGGGACAGUUGUCUAUAAAACUCUAGUGUAAAUAUAGCACUCCCCUCCCUCAUCUUUUCUUCUAUCUUACUCCCCAUUUAUUCUACACAGGUUGUAUUUUUAAUUUUGGGCUUCCCCUUUUGAGCAUGGCAGCUCAGUGGUGGAGUGCCAACCAGAGCUUGGCCGAGGGAGGAAGGAAAACAGAAAGGUGACAAUUCCUCACCUCUUUUGUUUUUAAUAAUACUGGCCAGCUGUUUGUACAGACAGCCUGCGUGUUGUAAAUAAAGCAGAGUGGGCUCUUCAAAAAAAAUAAAUAAAUAAAUAAAUAAAAA